rnacentral:lncRNA from 1 species
GCUGAGCACAGUGCAUUAACAUUUACAACAUAUUAACAUUUACAACAUGGACAUAAAACAUACUUGAAAAACCUGAGCGUCAGUACUGCACUACAGUAUACUACAGUAUACUUCCUGUCCGGGUUGGUGCCCCCCCUUGGGUUGUGCCGUGGCGGAGAUCUUUGUGGGCUAUACUCGGCCUUGUCUCAGGAUGGUAAGUUGGUGGGUGAAGAUAUCCCUCUAGCGGUGUGGGGGCUGUGCUUUGGCAAAGUGGGUGGGGUUAUAUCCUGCCUGUUUGGCCCUGCCCGGAGUUAUCGUCGGAAGGGGCCACAGUGUCUCCCGACCCCUCCUUCUCAGCCUCCAGUAUUUAUGCUGCAGUAGUUUAUGUGUCGGGGGCUAGGGUCAGUCUGUUAUAUCUGGAGUAUUUCUCCUUUCUUAUCCGGUGUCCUGUGUGAAUUUAAGUAUGCUCUCUCUAAUUCUCUCUCUCUCUUUUUCUCUUUUUCUUUCUCUCUUUGUCUCUUUCUUUCUCUCUCUCGGAGGACCUGAGCCCUAGGACCAUGCCUCAGGACUAACUGGCCUGAUGACUCCUUGCUGUCCCCAGUCCACCUGGCCAUGCUGCUGCUCCAGUAUCAACUGUUCUGCCUGCGGCUAUGGAAUCCUGACCUGUUCCAGACUUGCUACCUGUCCUAGACUUGCUGUUUUCAACUCUCUAGAGACAGCAGGAGCGGUAGAGAUACUCUGAAUGAUCGGCUAUGAAAAGCCAAAUGACAUUUACUCCUGAGGUGCUGACCUGUUGCACCCUCGACAACCACUGUGAUUAUUAUUAUUUGACCCUGCUGGUCAUUAUGUUUUGUUAUAAUCUCCACCCGGCACAGCCGGAAGAGGACUGGCCAACCCUCAUAGCCUGGUUCCUAUCUAGGUUUCUUCCUAGGUUCUGGCCUUUCUAGGGAGUUUUUCCUAGCCACCGUGCUUCUACACCUGCAUUGCUUGCUGUUUGGGGUUUUAGGCUGGGUUUAUGUACAGAACUUUGUGACAUCAGCUGAUGUAAGAAGGGCUUUAUAAAUACAUUUGAUUGAUUGAUUGAUUGAUUGA